AGUGAACGCUGGCGGUAGGCCUAACACAUGCCAGUCGAACGGCAGCACAGUAAGAGCUUGCUCUUACGGGUGGCGAGUGGCGGACGGGUGAGGAAUACAUCGGAAUCUACUUUUUCGUGGGGGAUAACGUAGGGAAACUUACGCUAAUACCGCAUACGACCUACGGGUGAAAGCAGUGGAUCUUCGGACCUUGCGCGAUUGAAUGAGCCGAUGUCGGAUUAGCUAGUUGGCGGGGUAAAGGCCCACCAAGGCGACGAUCCGUAGCUGGUCUGAGAGGAUGAUCGGCCACACUGGAACUGAGACACGGUCCAGACUCCUACGGGAGGCAGCAGUGGGGAAUAUUGGGCAAUGGGCGAAAGCCUGAUCCAGCCAUACCGCGUGGGUGAAGAAGGCCUUCGGGUUGUAAAGCCCUUUUGUUGGGAAAGAAAAGCAGCAGGUUAAUACCCCGCUGUUCUGACGGUACCCAAAGAAUAAGCACCGGCUAACUUCGUG
rnacentral:rRNA from 1 species